GACGAACGCUGGCGGCGUGCCUAAUACAUGCAAGUCGAACGCUUCUUUUUCCACCGGAGCUUGCUCCACCGGAAAAAGAGGAGUGGCGAACGGGUGAGUAACACGUGGGUAACCUGCCCAUCAGAAGGGGAUAACACUUGGAAACAGGUGCUAAUACCGUAUAACAAUCAAAACCGCAUGGUUUUGAUUUGAAAGGCGCUUUCGGGUGUCGCUGAUGGAUGGACCCGCGGUGCAUUAGCUAGUUGGAGAGGUAACGGCUCACCAAGGCCACGAUGGAGUGACGACCUGGUAGGGUGCUCGGCCACAUUGGGACUGAGACACGGCCCAAACUCCAACGGGAGGCAGCAGUAGGGAAUCUUCGGCAAUGGACGAAAGUCUGACCGAGCAGCGCCGCGUGAGUGAAGAAGGUUUUCGGAUCGUAAACCUCUGUUGUUAGAGAAGAACAAGGAUGAGAGUAACUGUUCAUCCCUUGACGGUAUCUAACCAGAAAGCCACGGCUAACUACGUGCCAGCCGCCGCAGUAA
rnacentral:rRNA from 1 species